rnacentral:rRNA from 1 species
UCCUACGGGGGGCAGCAGUGAGGAAUAUUGGUCAAUGGUCGGGAGACUGAACCAGCCAAGCCGCGUGAGGGAUGAAGGUACAGAGUAUCGUAAACCUCUUUUGUCAGGGAACAAAGGCGGGGACGUGUCCCCGGAUGAGUGUACCUGAAGAAAAAGCAUCGGCUAACUCCGUGCCAGCAGCCGCGGUAAUACGGAGGAUGCGAGCGUUAUCCGGAUUUAUUGGGUUCAAAGGGUGCGCAGGCGGUCUGUUAAGUCAGCGGUCAAAGCCCGGGGCUCAACCCCGGCCCGCCGUUGAAACUGGCGGG